GGCUCAGGAUGAACGCUGGCGGCGUGCUUAACACAUGCAAGUCGAACGAUGAACCUCACUUGUGGGGGGAUUAGUGGCGAACGGGUGAGUAACACGUGAGUAACCUGCCCUUGACUCUGGGAUAAGCCUGGGAAACCGGGUCUAAUACUGGAUACGACCUUCUGGCGCAUGCCAUGUUGGUGGAAAGCUUUUGUGGUUUUGGAUGGACUCGCGGCCUAUCAGCUUGUUGGUGGGGUAAUGGCCUACCAAGGCGACGACGGGUAGCCGGCCUGAGAGGGUGACCGGCCACACUGGGACUGAGACACGGCCCAGACUCCUACGGGAGGCAGCAGUGGGGAAUAUUGCACAAUGGGCGCAAGCCUGAUGCAGCGACGCCGCGUGAGGGAUGAAGGCCUUCGGGUUGUAAACCUCUUUCAGUAGGGAAGAAGCCG
rnacentral:rRNA from 1 species